rnacentral:rRNA from 1 species
CAGCGCCGCGGGAAUACGAAGGGUGCAAGCGUUAAUCGGAAUUACUGGGCGUAAAGCGUGCGUAGGCGGUUUGUUAAGUCUGCUGUGAAAUCCCCGGGCUCAACCUGGGAAUGGCAGUGGAUACUGGCAAGCUAGAGUGUGUCAGAGGAUGGUGGAAUUCCCGGUGUAGCGGUGAAAUGCGUAGAGAUCGGGAGGAACAUCAGUGGCGAAGGCGGCCAUCUGGGACAACACUGACGCUGAGGCACGAAAGCGUGGGGAGCAAACAGGAUUAGAUACCCCGGUAGUCCCUGUCUCUUAUACC